GCCUGGCUGGCUCAGUCAGGGGAGUGUGUGACUUUUGAUUUCAGGGUUGUGAGUUCAAGUCCCACGUUGGGUG
rfam:Mustela putorius furo unplaced genomic scaffold scaffold00115, whole genome shotgun sequence.